rnacentral:rRNA from 1 species
UGUACACGCUGUGACUAGCAUAUCAAUAAGCGGAGGAAAAGAAACUAACAAGGAUUCCCUCAGUAACGGCGAGUGAAGCGGGAAGAGCUCAAAUUUGAAAUCUUGAAAGGUCACCUUUCACGAAUUGUAGUUUAAAGAAGUGUUUUCUGUUACGAUCGUAAUAUAAGUUCUUUGGAAUAGGACAUCACAGAGGGUGAGAAUCCCGUCUAUGAUUGCGAUUUGUAGCUUUGUGAUACACUUUCAAAGAGUCGGGUUGUUUGGGAAUGCAGCCCAAAACGGGAGGUAAAUUUCUUCUAAGGCUAAAUAUUGGCGAGAGACCGAUAGCGAACAAGUACCGUGAGGGAAAGAUGAAAAGAACUUUGAAAAGAGAGUUAAACAGUACGUGAAAUUGUCAAAAGGGAAGCGUUUAACACCAGUGUUGUUUUCUGAAAAUCAACCUCUGUUAGCUUUAUGCAUGUUUGUUUAGACCUAAUCAGCUAUCUUUCAUGUUCUAUUGUUUGCAGUGGUGCACUUUUCAGUUUACAGGUCAACAUCAGUUUUUUUUACCGUAAAAAAGUUAAAGAAAGGUAGCUCAUGGCUCCGGUCGUGAGUGUUAUAGUCUUUUUCCUAUGCGGUAGGAGAGACUGAGGUCUGCAGUGUAGGCUAUUUGGCUAGAUACUCAGGUGCUAUGUGAUACCAUUUCAUAAACAACUUGUUGAUUAUGUUUUGUCUAUUGCAUACUCGCUUGUACUAUCAUACCUACGCUUAGGAUGUUGAGUAGCGACAUACGCAC